rnacentral:misc_RNA from 1 species
ACACUAAUGAAAUCCAAAACCUUUUGGAUCAACCCAACCUUAGGCGAACCGUUCGUAUUUUCCCUUUGCCCAAUUUUACCAAACGCAAAAACUCUGAUGUAAAGUGUCUGAUUCUUAUUCUCGUUUCGGUUGUAAUGACCGAGCGGCGGGAAUCAAAUCUAACGCAAUA